rnacentral:tRNA from 1 species
GCCCACUUAGCUCAGAGGUUAGAGCAUCGCAUUACAAAUGCGAUGGUCAUCGGUUCGACUCCGAUAGCGGGCU